GAUCCCUGGCUCAGGACGAACGCUGGCGGCGUGCCUAAUACAUGCAAGUCGAGCGAAUGAUAGGGAGCUUGCUCCCAUGAUUUAGCGGCGGACGGGUGAGUAACACGUGGGCAACCUACCUGUAAGACUGGGAUAACUUCGGGAAACCGGAGCUAAUACCGGAUAAUUUCUUUUCUCGCAUGAGAGAAGAUGGAAAGACGGUUUCGGCUGUCACUUACAGAUGGGCCCGCGGCGCAUUAGCUAGUUGGUGAGGUAAUGGCUCACCAAGGCCACGAUGCGUAGCCGACCUGAGAGGGUGAUCGGCCACACUGGGACUGAGACACGGCCCAGACUCCUACGGGAGGCAGCAGUAGGGAAUCUUCCGCAAUGGACGAAAGUCUGACGGAGCAACGCCGCGUGAGCGAAGAAGGCCUUCGGGUCGUAAAGCUCUGUUGUUAGGGAAGAACAAGUACCAGAGUAACUGCUGGUACCUUGACGGUACCUAACCAGAAAGCCACGGCUAA
rnacentral:rRNA from 1 species